GUAACGGACAAGAAGGAAAUGAUUGUUCGUUGCAGCCUCACGACACUCGUUUUCACAUUCAUCAAAAUUGGGGUUGUUGAUUCGAGAAAGCGAUCAAGAGAAGUUUCGUCGGUGGACUAUAUUGAAUACUCGACGGCGGCUACGAUGAACACUCGACCGUCAAAACCACCGCAAGUUAUCAAAUUGAGCGAGUUGUUGCAGAAUCAUAACCGGAAAAUGCCUAAUGUGGUUUCCACUGGUCUCCGUUUAUCUCAUGAGGAGUCUUUUUCUAUGCUUCCCGGAGAUCUCACCGGAGAAUUUAAAGGUCAACGAAAUGAGUUGGACAGUUUCCUUUAAAUUCAGGGUCAAAUGAAGUUGUUACUCAAUUUUGAUAUGAAAACUAUGCGAUUUAGUUAUUGGGAAUGUCUUCCAGUUCCAUGAACUACGGUUCCGAAUAUGGUUCAUGUUCACGUCAAACCGGAAAAUCAAAAUCGUUUAUAUAAUCAUUAUAUAGGGCAACUAUUUUGGAGUUUCAUCAAUCAAAUGAUGAUAGUCAAAUACAUUUCAAAUCGUGGAGUAGUAUGAAGGGUUUCACCAAAAAAAAAAAAAAAAUAGUAGUAGUACGAAGUAAGAUGAUUACAUGUAUUUGAUCAUUUGUUAGCAGGUAACGCUUGCCAAAAGGAAACAAUUUCCCUUUUUCAUUAAUAUUUGUUAUACAUGUUUUAUGUAUUUGCUUGUAUUUGUGUGUGUUUGUAUUUUUUUCAA